UACAGAGGGUGCUAGCGUUGUCCGGAAUUAUUGGGCGUAAAGCGCGCGCAGGUGGUUUCUUAAGUCUGAUGUGAAAGCCCACGGCUCAACCGUGGAGGGUCAUUGGAAACUGGGGAACUUGAGUGCAGAAGAGGAAAGUGGAAUUCCAAGUGUAGCGGUGAAAUGCGUAGAGAUUUGGAGGAACACCAGUGGCGAAGGCGACUUUCUGGUCUGUAACUGACACUGAGGCGCGAAAGCGUGGGGAGCGAACAGG
rnacentral:rRNA from 1 species